UUGACAGCAACCUUUCUAAACCAGCUAUAUUUCAGGGGCUGAAUGCACAGGAACAGAUGAAACCUGCAAUUCUGCCAGCUUCCUUCCUUCCUAGAGGAAGACAGUGAUAGGUAGAUACUGAAGGGUAGAUAGUGAAGAAGAAGCUGAGAGAGUCAACACACUGAACAACUACAAAAAUGCUGAAUUAUUUAUGCAAAGGACAUUAUUUUCAUCUUAAAGAGUUAAGACAAUCAGCCUGUAAAACCUUGUGAUGCAGUAUCAAGUCCUUAUUCUAGGAAACAGAGGAGAGACUCUUAGACAAGCACCAUAAAUACUAAGCCAUCUCUCACUAGCAUAAUGAAUGCAAUGUUUUGAGUUUAUUAAAUGUGCCUAGAAGUUAAUUGAAAGUAUUCAUUUAGUGAGAAAAAUUAAGUGGUUAUAAUACUAUGGAAAAAACUGAGUGAAUAGUGAUUGAUUUGAUUUUAUUUUUCAACUGUAAUUUACAUCAGGAAGGAGGAAAAGGGAAGAAAAACUAGCAAAGUGAGUGGAUCCAAUGGACCAAAACAAUUUGGGAUUUACCAUGGCUAAUAUUAUAUGCAUAAGUAUUUCUUUCACAGAAGAAAGAUUGUGCUGGAGAAGGCAGUUUAUUAGACUUUAGUGUAUGUAGGACAGGGGAAAUCUUUGACCAGUUCAGGAAGAAGGCAAGGUGUUUAUUUUCUUUAAUCUCAGUCAAUAGCAACAAAUAAAGUAAGACUGAUAAUAGCCCAAGGAGUCUACUGGAUGCUCGUAUCUGAAAGGAGAACAGAGUGUAAAUGAUCAAUGGUUGUCUCUAUCAAGCUGCAUUUAGUUGGGAUUUUUCCUUUCCAGAUUGUCAUGACUGAAGCUAGUAAAAGUUGAAAGGAGGAUGGAUAUCUGCAAGGAUAAUCAUUAAGAUCUUCUGUGCUACAGACAAGGCCACCACUGCGCCCCUGCCUCCAACUGCUCUGCUGGUACCUAUGGAAAAGGCUCUUUCUCAGAUACCCCAACUCCUUCUGCAAUUGGAGGGCAAGCUAGAAUGAAUGAGCAUGGGUUUUGGUCCCAACAUCGGAAGAAGAACCCUAAUUCUUGCUGUGGAUGGUGAAUGUGGUCCCUGAGGUGAGGUGCAGAUGGCUGUCUAUGAAAAGUUACUCUUCAUACGCUUACAAACACAGAGCCUGGGUGAUUCAGAUAAUAUCUGUUCUGCUUCCACUUAGGAGUCUGGCAAAUGAAGGACACAAAAUAAAAUAUUUUUUAAAAAUGGUGCCUAAAUUUAAGAAUAAAAUCCAUGUCUAAGCACUUAAGCACUUAAAUAUGUGGUCUGAUUAAAAAAAAAAUUGGAAUCAAGAAAACACCAGCAAGGCCAGCUGGGAGGUGAUGACUUGGAGAAUUCCAUCCCUAAUUUUGUUGUCUAAAUAAGAAUCCAGGAAUAGGGCCCAGGAUCUCAUUUUGAACAAAAUAUUUGUAUGAAUGCUGCCUAGAGCUGGAAGGAUUAAAUUGGAUCACUGAUCUCCUCUGCACUGGGAAAUCACUAGAAUUUUUUUUAAAGCACUGCUCAUGUUAUUGGGCAUUCAGAAGAUUGAAUAUGAUGGUUGGGCAUUGAAAAGACACAGGAAGGUCUGUUCUAAUCCCCAACACAAAUGUUGGAGCAUGCUACCAAGCCCUACUGCCUUGACAUAGAAGGCCCAGGUGUUAGCAACCCAGAACCAGUGUAAGACACUGCUCCUUGCACUGACUCCAGCCACCCACCAGCCUGUCUGUCCACAGCCCCAAAAUUCACUGUUAUGUAUUCAGCUGAAGCACCAAACUUCCUUUUUCUUCAGCAAACUUCACACAAAAAAAAAGUUCUAAAAAAAAAUCAGUUGUCUCUUGUUAGGCUUCUCCAUCCAGUUCCAAUGAUGGUGUCAUGUAUUGAUUUGGUCUCAAAUAACCACAUCUACAUCUCCACUGAGAAGAUGGUUUGUAUGUGGAAAAGCCUUGAUUUUCUUUUAAACUACUCUAAUAGUUGUAGCUGUUUCUUUCUUAUGGCUAUCAGGCUCAGAAUUACCUGAAUAUGGGAGCUUCCCAAGAGGAGCAAAUUAUCUGUAUUAGCAAAGGCUCCUUUCUAAGUCUGGGUGGUGCCUACACUUAACUAAAUCAAAUUUUACUUAAAAGCUUAUUAGAGCUUUUGGCUCUAUAUAGACAUCACAUUUCUGGGAAGUUUUGAUCAAAAAGCUUGGCAUGACUACAAUUACAAUAUUGUUACAAGGCACUAAAUGGUAUUGAUAUGUUUAAAACAGAAAUUCUGUGUUCAUUUUAUAUACAGUUUAUCUCAAUUGCAUAAAUACCAGGGUAUUUAUAGAUUUAUCAGAGUUUGCAUCCUCUCCUUGAAUCUUUCAAACAUUCAGGCUUACAAUAAAGCCUAAUAAUGGCCAAGCAGCCCAAAGAAUAAUAAUUUAAUUAAAAAAAGGAGUAACAACACUGAUUUCAGAACUGAAGAGACAGCAGCUAUUGACUUUUAAUAGAUUUAUAAUAAAUUUUUAUGGCUUUCAUUCUUGAUUCUAACUUAAACAGAGUAAACUGCAACAGCUGUCCAGGGAAAGAGAUACUGUUCUACUGGGUAGUUUUUUUACUGCUGUCCACCUCGUGAUCUAUCCACAUUUACAUAGUUUUCCAUGUUUAAACUGAAACAAACAUUCUCAGAUGGGCAGUGACAGCUAUGAGUGUCAUAUCUGUAUUUAAUGGAAUAAAAAACACAAACCAACUUGUCAGACACACCAUGGUGUCAAGCUCAAUUACCUAAAUAAACAGAGGCAAUGGUUAAUUUUACUUGCUGUUCACUUUUUUGAAACUGCUUCACUGUUGAUUUUUGCAGUCUCUCCCUGGGAGGAUUACAUCUGCCUGGUUUAAAGUUUCACGUCCAAACAUCAUGACCAAAACCUAAAAGCUUGCUACAGAAAAAAAAGUAUAAAUUUGGGAAAAGAGCCUUCCUUCUCUGGGGAAAAUUAGCCUGGAUCCUAAGAGGAAAGUUAUUUGAGCAAGCUCCAUCUAUGAGACAAGAAGUGCAAACAGGUUGUGGCCUGCCAUGAUGGAACCCCACCAGAAACUCCCCAUGUGAGCAGUCACUGUAAAUGUGUCUUUCUCCACUGCCUUGAGGGAGAUGCCUACAUGCCACCCACAUGUCAUGAGGAAUCAUAACAUCAAGUUUACAUUGAAAGCAGUUAAAAUACACAGGGAUGAUGAGAGAAACAUUUUUGCAUCACAAUUUUUUAUUUUAAACACAACCUAGCACCUAUUAUUAUUUUGGCAAUACAAAAGUGCAGCAGAUGUUGUCACCUUCUACAGGGCAGAGAGCUAGUGGACCUCUGCUCACUCACUCAAGCUGAAAAGGCAGCUCGUCCUCCCUCCAGCCAUCCCUUUGACUUGGAUAAAGAGCCUCCCAGCUGGAAUAGUUUUCCUGAAGUGAUUCACCCCAUGCUGUUUCACACACACACACACACAAAGGCCCAGUGACUGAGACCCAAACUGCAGUCGCCAUGUCACUGUAACAGAUCUCCCCACUUCCAGGUCAUUCAACACAGAUCACAUCCAACCUCAGGCACUCUUUGUCAGGCACCCACAAAGGGUUUGAGCAGACUCAGUCCAAAGCAAAAGACCUUACACACUGACCUUUAGGGGUGCACUGGUCAUUCAGUGCACUGAAGCCAAGAGUGCACAAAACCUUCACAGAGCCAGGAUCACUCCAGCAACUGAUCCCUCGCCUCUACGCCAGUCCCAAAUCAAAAGCAGAUCUGCAAGAUUCUCCAGCUGUGGAGAUGCCAAGGGGAGAAAAGCAAAGCAGAGGACAGAACAGUCCUUAGUAGAAGCAAGAUCCUGUGGGGAGACUCGGGGACUCAUGGCAAAGUGCAGCCCUAGUGAGCUGGGCAGAGCUCAGGUGUUGUGCUGGGUCUGUGAGCACAUGGCCCUGGGCUGGGCCAGGCCAGGCUCAUUUAGUCCUUUUCACCAUGACUGCUCAGCUCUGGGAUCCUGAGGGCAGAUGAAUGGCAUGUUCUUAGCAACAUGCCAGUGGAAACUACUAUGGCAUUGGGUUGAACAGGCUGUGUGCUUCUCCAGCCUUCCUUCCUGAUAAGCACUGAAAGGAUUGCACUGCUUAUUACAAGGGACUUCCUCAUCACAAGGCAAAAUAAAUUCACCUAUAAAAUGCACAGAUAAAAGUUUUUCAUUUCACAUCCAGCAGCUGAAAAACAACUUUACCAGGUGAUAUUGGUGGGGUUGAUUUCUAUUUGUCUUUGGGGGUUUUUUCUGGGUUUUUUUGUGUGGUGGCUUUAUUCUGUUUGUUUGGUUUGGCUUUUUGCUUUUU